AGUGAACGCUGGCGGUAGGCCUAACACAUGCAAGUCGAACGGCAGCACAGUAAGAGCUUGCUCUUACGGGUGGCGAGUGGCGGACGGGUGAGGAAUACAUCGGCAUCUACUUUUUCGUGGGGGAUAACGUAGGGAAACUUACGCUACUACCGCAUACGACCUACGGGUGAAAGCAGGGGAACUUCGGACCUUGCGCGAUUGAAUGAGCCGAUGUCGGAUUCGCUAGUUGGCGGGGUAAAGGCCCACCAAGGCGACGAUCCGUAGCUGGUCUGAGAGGAUGAUCAGCCACACUGGAACUGAGACACGGUCCAGACUCCUACGGGAGGCCGCAGUGGGGCAUAUUGGACAAUGGGCGCAAGCCUGAUCCAGCCAUACCGCGUGGGUGAAGAAGGCCUUCGGGUUGUAAAGCCCUUUUGUUGGGAAAGAAAAGCAGCAGGUUAAUACCCCGCUGUUCUGACGGUACCCAAAGAAGAAGCACCGGCUAACUUCGUG
rnacentral:rRNA from 1 species